rnacentral:rRNA from 1 species
UGAGGAAUAUUGGGCAAUGGACGCAAGUCUGACCCAGCCAUGCCGCGUGCAGGAAGACGGCCCUACGGGUUGUAAACUGCUUUUUUGAUAGAGUAAAAUUGACUACGUGUAGUCAACUGCAAGUAUAUUAAGAAUAAGCAUCGGCUAACUCCGUGCCAGCAGCCGCGGUAAUACGGAGGAUGCAAGCGUUAUCCGGAUUUAUUAGGUUUAAAGGGUGCGUAGGCGGUACAGUAAGUCAGGGGUGAAAACCAGUUGCUCAACAACUGGCUUGCCUUUGAUACUGCUGAACUUGAGUGCAGACGAAGUACGCGGAAUGUGUAAUGUAGCGGUGAAAUGCAUAGAUAUUACACAGAACACCGAUAGCGAAGGCAGCGUACUAGGGUGUAACUGACGCUGAGGCACGAAAGCGUGGGGAUCAAACA